rnacentral:snoRNA from 1 species
CUGGUCAUAUAAAAAAUAAGUAAAUAAAAUAAAAUAAUACCUCACUGACCUAAAGUAAAUCCCAGGAGGAGUUCUUCCUGGGCUUUGAAUUUGCAGUAACAGGUUUGAACAUUCUAGAGGCAGUUGGAUGAUCAUGUAUGAUACUGCAGACAAGA